rnacentral:lncRNA from 1 species
AUACUCCCUCCGUCCCUUUUUACAUGUCCACUUUGAAAAAAAAAUUUGUCCCAAAUUACUUGUCCACUUCUCUUUUCAAAGCAACUUUUUGUAUGUUUUUCCAAAAAGUAACAACUUCCAAUGUUUGACUAGCAUAUAUAUACACACAACUCUAUCUAAUUCAUUACAUUUAUUAGGGAUAUGUAUGAAAACAAGAUAUCCAACUAACAUUUUCUUAAGAUGCGUUAUUUUUUCAAAAGGGACAAGUAAAAGGGGACGGAGGGAGUAG